CCUAUUCGCUGUCAAAUAAUCCCGUUAACUACUUUUGGAAUAUCCAUUUUUGUCUGCAGCUAUUUUUUCAUCAACUCGGAAAUCAGCCCUGCCAGCAAUUUCAGAAUGUACUUUGUUUUGCUAUCUUGGAUAAUCUCGCUAUAUAUAUUAUGUUCAUGUGUACAGGAGGUAACUGAUGAAACAGAAAAAAUAUAUUGGAAUUUAUAUCAGUGUCACUGGGAAGAUUGGAAUAAUGAAAAUAGAGGAAUACUACUGCUAAAGCUUGUGAAGCUCAGCAACCCUUGGACUCUCACUACAGGCUUUGUUGUGAACAAAAGACUAAUG